GACGUAGGGCGCGAGCGCUGUCCGGAUUUAUUGGGCGUAAAGAGCGUGUAGGCGGCCAUGUCGGUUCGUUGUGAAAACUCGAGGCUCAACCUCGAGACGCCGAUGGAAACCAUGUGGCUAGAGUCCGGAAGAGGAGAGUGGAAUUCCUGGUGUAGCGGUGAAAUGCGCAGAUAUCAGGAAGAACACCCGUGGCUAAGGCGGCUCUCUAGUACGGUACUGACGCUGAGACGCGAAAGCGUGGGGAGCGAACAGG
rnacentral:rRNA from 1 species